UUAAGCGACUAAGCGUACACGGUGGAUGCCCUGGCAGUCAGAGGCGAUGAAGGACGUGCUAAUCUGCGAUAAGCGUCGGUGAGGUGAUAUGAACCGUUAUAACCGGCGAUUUCCGAAUGGGGAAACCCAGUGUGUUUCGACACACUAUCAUUAACUGAAUCCAUAGGUUAAUGAGGCGAACCGGGGGAACUGAAACAUCUAAGUACCCCGAGGAAAAGAAAUCAACCGAGAUUCCCCCAGUAGCGGCGAGCGAACGGGGAGGAGCCCAGAGCCUGAAUCAGUGUGUGUGUUAGUGGAAGCGUCUGGAAAGGCGUGCGAUACAGGGUGACAGCCCCGUACACAAAAAUGCACAUAUUGUGAGCUCGAUGAGUAGGGCGGGACACGUGGUAUCCUGUCUGAAUAUGGGGGGACCAUCCUCCAAGGCUAAAUACUCCUGACUGACCGAUAGUGAACCAGUACCGUGAGGGAAAGGCGAAAAGAACCCCGGCGAGGGGAGUGAAAAAGAACCUGAAACCGUGUACGUACAAGCAGUGGGAGCCUCUUAAUGGGGUGACUGCGUACCUUUUGUAUAAUGGGUCAGCGACUUAUAUUCUGUAGCAAGGUUAACCGAAUAGGGGAGCCGAAGGGAAACCGAGUCUUAACUGGGCGUUAAGUUGCAGGGUAUAGACCCGAAACCCGGUGAUCUAGCCAUGGGCAGGUUGAAGGUUGGGUAACACUAACUGGAGGACCGAACCGACUAAUGUUGAAAAAUUAGCGGAUGACUUGUGGCUGGGGGUGAAAGGCCAAUCAAACCGGGAGAUAGCUGGUUCUCCCCGAAAGCUAUUUAGGUAGCGCCUCGUGAAUUCAUCUCCGGGGGUAGAGCACUGUUUCGGCAAGGGGGUCAUCCCGACUUACCAACCCGAUGCAAACUGCGAAUACCGGAGAAUGUUAUCACGGGAGACACACGGCGGGUGCUAACGUCCGUCGUGAAGAGGGAAACAACCCAGACCGCCAGCUAAGGUCCCAAAGUCAUGGUUAAGUGGGAAACGAUGUGGGAAGGCCCAGACAGCCAGGAUGUUGGCUUAGAAGCAGCCAUCAUUUAAAGAAAGCGUAAUAGCUCACUGGUCGAGUCGGCCUGCGCGGAAGAUGUAACGGGGCUAAACCAUGCACCGAAGCUGCGGCAGCGACACUAUGUGUUGUUGGGUAGGGGAGCGUUCUGUAAGCCUGUGAAGGUGGCCUGUGAGGGUUGCUGGAGGUAUCAGAAGUGCGAAUGCUGACAUAAGUAACGAUAAAGCGGGUGAAAAGCCCGCUCGCCGGAAGACCAAGGGUUCCUGUCCAACGUUAAUCGGGGCAGGGUGAGUCGACCCCUAAGGCGAGGCCGAAAGGCGUAGUCGAUGGGAAACAGGUUAAUAUUCCUGUACUUGGUGUUACUGCGAAGGGGGGACGGAGAAGGCUAUGUUGGCCGGGCGACGGUUGUCCCGGUUUAAGCGUGUAGGCUGGUUUUCCAGGCAAAUCCGGAAAACCAAGGCUGAGGCGUGAUGACGAGGCACUACGGUGCUGAAGCGACAAAUGCCCUGCUUCCAGGAAAAGCCUCUAAGCAUCAGGUAACAUCAAAUCGUACCCCAAACCGACACAGGUGGUCAGGUAGAGAAUACCAAGGCGCUUGAGAGAACUCGGGUGAAGGAACUAGGCAAAAUGGUGCCGUAACUUCGGGAGAAGGCACGCUGAUAUGUAGGUGAAGCGACUUGCUCGUGGAGCUGAAAUCAGUCGAAGAUACCAGCUGGCUGCAACUGUUUAUUAAAAACACAGCACUGUGCAAACACGAAAGUGGACGUAUACGGUGUGACGCCUGCCCGGUGCCGGAAGGUUAAUUGAUGGGGUUAGCGGUAACGCGAAGCUCUUGAUCGAAGCCCCGGUAAACGGCGGCCGUAACUAUAACGGUCCUAAGGUAGCGAAAUUCCUUGUCGGGUAAGUUCCGACCUGCACGAAUGGCGUAAUGAUGGCCAGGCUGUCUCCACCCGAGACUCAGUGAAAUUGAACUCGCUGUGAAGAUGCAGUGUACCCGCGGCAAGACGGAAAGACCCCGUGAACCUUUACUAUAGCUUGACACUGAACAUUGAGCCUUGAUGUGUAGGAUAGGUGGGAGGCUUUGAAGUGUGGACGCCAGUCUGCAUGGAGCCGACCUUGAAAUACCACCCUUUAAUGUUUGAUGUUCUAACGUUGGCCCGUAAUCCGGGUUGCGGACAGUGUCUGGUGGGUAGUUUGACUGGGGCGGUCUCCUCCUAAAGAGUAACGGAGGAGCACGAAGGUUGGCUAAUCCUGGUCGGACAUCAGGAGGUUAGUGCAAUGGCAUAAGCCAGCUUGACUGCGAGCGUGACGGCGCGAGCAGGUGCGAAAGCAGGUCAUAGUGAUCCGGUGGUUCUGAAUGGAAGGGCCAUCGCUCAACGGAUAAAAGGUACUCCGGGGAUAACAGGCUGAUACCGCCCAAGAGUUCAUAUCGACGGCGGUGUUUGGCACCUCGAUGUCGGCUCAUCACAUCCUGGGGCUGAAGUAGGUCCCAAGGGUAUGGCUGUUCGCCAUUUAAAGUGGUACGCGAGCUGGGUUUAGAACGUCGUGAGACAGUUCGGUCCCUAUCUGCC
rnacentral:rRNA from 1 species